rnacentral:ncRNA from 1 species
GUCUAAGUACGCACGGCCGGUACAGUGAAACCGCGAAUGGCUCAUUAAAUCAGUUAUGGUUCCUUUGGUCGCUCGCUCCUCUCCUAUUUGGAUAACUGUGGUAAUUCUAGAGCUAAUACAUGCCGAUGGGCACUGACCCCGUAGGAAGGUUGCCAGUUCAAGUCUGGAGACCUCCCUGAGGAGGGCAGGCACACACAUGCCCACAAUCUGGGCUGGCUAAAGCUUGGGGUAGGUUGCAGCCUCAGGACAUUUGAGGGUCCUCUCUCUAUCUCUCUCUCUCGGG